GACGAACGCGGCGGCGUGCUUAACACAUGCAAGUCGAACGGAGCGAAUGAAAGCUUGCUUUUAUAAGCUUAGUGGCAAACGGGUGAGUAACACGUAGGCAACCUGCCGACAGGAUGGGGACAACAUUCCGAAAGGAAUGCUAAUACCGAAUGAAGCGCAGGAGAGGCAUCUCUCCUGCGUGAAAGAUGGCCUCUAUAUAUAAGCUAUCACCUGUCGAUGGGCCUGCGUCUGAUUAGCUGGUAGGUAAGGUAACGGCUCACCUAGGCGACGAUCAGUAGCCGGUCUGAGAGGAUGAACGGCCACAUUGAGACUGAGACACGGCCCAGACUCCUACGGGAGGCAGCAGUGGGGAAUCUUCCGCAAUGGGCGCAAGCCUGACGGAGCAACGCCGCGUGAGUGAAGAAGGUCUUCGGAUCGUAAAGCUCUGUUGAUGGGGACGAACGUGCCUAAUGCGAAUAGUUUUAGGUAAUGACGGUACCCAUCGAGGAAGCC
rnacentral:rRNA from 1 species